UCUCACAUUUAUUAUCCCAUACAAAGGCAACUCUUUCCUAGUCAAUCUAGUCAAAUAGUAAGCAACGACGAAAUGCUUUGGGGAGUCGAAAAUAAGCAUAGGUCCGGGGAUCCUCGAUAUAGGUUAACCUUUCGAACUACUGUUGAAUUCAUGGGUAGGAAAAAGAAAACCUAGUGAACUGAAACAUCUUAAUAGCUAGAGGAAAAGAAAGCAAAAGCGAUUCUUGUAGUAAAGGCUGUUAGAAAAGAAUGGCACAAUCCAAGAGGGGGGUG
rnacentral:ncRNA from 1 species